rnacentral:misc_RNA from 1 species
GUAAUGGUUAGGUUUUUUUGAGAUCAACGUUUUUAGGCGUGACCUGUAUUGUCUCAGUCAAGAGGUAAAGAAAUGUGGUUUGUUGUAAAAUGUUUGGACAUCCCCACUGACUACCCUUGGAAAGGGAGAGAGGGGGAUGUUAAACACAAAAACGAGUUCACAUGGGUUGGGUCGAAAAAGACGCAACGCACCCGUCAGGUCUUUCGACACAGACAGGCACGCGCGUCCGAUCGGCAAUGAUCCUUCCGCAGGUUCACCUACGGAAA